GCCCAGCUGGCUUAGUUGGUGGAGUGUGUGACUCUUGAUCUCGGGGCUGUGGGUUCAAAUCCCACAUUGGGUG
rnacentral:tRNA from 1 species